UUAAUUUUCUUUGGUUGGCAGGACUGCAGAUGACACUAAAUGGGUUGGCGUAUUUCACAAGAAGCAGGAUUUUAUUGAUGUUGUAGAGCCACCAUCAUCUGAUAAAGUCAAAGAGACUGAUGAUGACUUUGCAAUAUAGUUCUUGAGCUAUCUGAAGAUGACCCGCAUUUUGAUAAAAAGAAGAAAUUACUUCAGAAUAAGGGUUUUAACCCCAAGGAACAGGUUUAUCUUAAGAGCUCUUUAGGUCUUGAUUGGAUAAGUACUACCUUGAAAGUAAUGCUUCAGAUAGCAAGAAUCAUACAAUUAGAUGAGGUA